CUUCCCAGGAUGAAGGACAUCAAUGACCAUCUGUUUCCUCUGAAGCAGACGGUUGGUCAUGAACUUCCUGGUCCGGAUGGUUACUGUGUCAUUCAUGAUGGCUACGGCGCUGGAGCUGGAGAGCAGGGGAGAGGAAGAGGUGUACACACUCUUAGAGGAUGAGGAGGAAGUGGCUGGGAAGAUUGAUGAGCUAAGGAAUGGACUACAGCUUGGGGCGAAGCUCGUUGAACUCUGGCAAGGCACCAACACAAGCCUUCUCUCCAGACACAGACACACACACAAGUAUACACACAUGCACACAAGUACACACACACAUGCACACAUAUGCAUGCACACACACAUACACAGACACAUAUGGACAUACACACAUGGAUAUACGCGUACAGGACGUGACUAUGGUAACUAGUUUGGUUUAACCAUUCCACAUUAUAUCUAUCAACACAUCACAUUGUACCCCGCACAUAUAUGCAAUCAUAAUUCACCAAUAAAAAAGUGAAUUUUGGAGACUGGAGAGGUGACUCAGUGUUAAAAAAACUAGUACUAUUCUUCUAGAGGAACUGAGUUAAAUUCCCAGCAUCCACAUUGGGUAGCCUGUAACUCCAUAUCCAGAGGUCAACAUCUUUGGCCUCCAUAGGUACCCACAUACAUGCAUACAUACAUAGAAAUAAAAACUUUCAAGUACA
ensembl:lincRNA Gm26510 predicted gene, 26510